rnacentral:rRNA from 1 species
UGAUCGAUGAAGAACGCAGCUAGAUACGUUAAUCGGUGU